rnacentral:rRNA from 1 species
UACAGAGGUCUCAAGCGUUGUUCGGAUUCAUUGGGCGUAAAGGGUGCGUAGGUGGCGCCGUAAGUCAGGUGUGAAAUUUCGGAGCUUAACUCCGAAACUGCAUUUGAUACUGCGGCGCUUGAGGACUGGAGAGGAGACUGGAAUUCACGGUGUAGCAGUGAAAUGCGUAGAUAUCGUGAGGAAGACCAGUGGCGAAGGCGGGUCUCUGGACAGUUCCUGACACUGAGGCACGAAGGCCAGGGGAGCAAACGGG